rnacentral:rRNA from 1 species
GACGAACGCUGGCGGCGUGCUUAACACAUGCAAGUCGAGCGGAAAGGCCCUGCUUGCAGGGUACUCGAGUGGCGAACGGGUGAGUAACACGUGGGUGAUCUGCCCUUCACUGCGGGAUAAGCCUGGGAAACUGGGUCUAAUACCGGAAAGGAGCCAUGUUUAGUGUGAUGGUUGGUAGGAUUUUUCGGUGUAGGAUGAGCUCGCGGCCUAUCAGCUUGUUGGUGGGGUAAUGGCCUACCAAGGCGGCGACGGGUAGCCGGCCUGAGAGGGUGGACGGCCACAUGGCGCCUACGAGACGCCCCAGUCUGCUACGGUAGGCAGCAGGCGAGAAUAUUGCACAACGGGGGCAAGCCUGAUGCGACGACGCCGCGUUGGUGAUGACCUCCUUCUUGGUGUAAACGGCUUUCGCUAAGGACGAAGCUGUUUUGAAGUGUACCAAAGUAUAAGCCCCCGCCAACUUCCUU